rnacentral:rRNA from 1 species
UACGUAGGGCGCAAGCGUUGUCCGGAAUUAUUGGGCGUAAAGAGCUCGUAGGUGGCGUGUCGCGUCUGCCGUGAAAGCCCAUGGCUUAACUGUGGGUCUGCGGUGGAUACGGGCAGGCUGGAGGCUGGUAGGGGCAAGCGGAAUUCCUGGUGUAGCGGUGAAAUGCGCAGAUAUCAGGAGGAACACCGGUGGCGAAGGCG